rnacentral:lncRNA from 10 species
ACAAGCGCUCGCUGUGGUUCUGGCAGCGAAGUGCGAGACUGGGCUCGCCAGGCGGAAGUGGUUGGAGACUGCGUGUUUUCCUAGAAAGUCCUCGACCUUCGUCGGGGAGAGGAGGGGAGUGAUAAAUUGGAAGGCGGACAAGCGACAAGUGCGGUACUGGAAAGACCCAAACAUACUUGGUUGUGACCUCAGGUCACAUCUCCCAAGAAGCAGUAAUGUUCCAGCAAUAAGAAAAGGACAGUUUUUUGUCUUUUGCAUGGUGAGCCUUAUAUGAAUUACAUCAAUUUUGUCACCAAUAUCCAUCAUCAGAACAUUUUGCCUACUCACUGUGAAGACAAUAAGGAUGAAGACCUUUAUGACAAUCCACUUCCACUUAAUGAAUAAUGAGGAAACUGGGGCACAGAGAAAUUAAGUGACUUGUCCAGGAGGACAGGGCCAAUAACCGGUGGAACCAUAAGAAAAAAAUCCAGUAACAGCUUUGAAAAAGGAAGAUAACAAUGACCUGUGUGUACAGCGUCCAAGGGAACCAUUAGCAGUGGAGCU